rnacentral:misc_RNA from 1 species
GAAAUGCGAUAAGUAGUGUGAAUUGCAGAAUUCAGCGAAUCAUCGAAUCUUUGAACGCAGAUUGCGCCCUUCGGUUAUUCCUUAGGGCAUGCCUGUUCGAGCGUCAUUUCAACCUUCAAGCCUGGCUUGGUGUUGGGCGCUGUCCCGCCUCCGCGCGCGGACUCGCCCCAAAUGAAUUGGCAGUCGCACCCUCCGAGCCGCGAGCGCAGCACAAGUCGCGCGGGCGGAACUCUGGGGGGACGGACGCUCCACAAGACCCUUUCUCAGUCUUGACCUCGGAUCAGGUAGGGAUACCCGCUGAACUUAAGCA